AUUGAACGCUGGCGGCAGGCCUAACACAUGCAAGUCGAACGAGUGGCGGACGGGUGAGUAAUGUCUGGGAAACUGCCCGUUGGAGGGGGAUAACUACUGGAAACGGUAGCUAAUACCGCAUACCAUCGGAUGUGCCCAGAUGGGAUUAGCUUGUAGGUGAGGUAACGGCUCACCUAGGCGACGAUCCCUAGCUGGUCUGAGAGGAUGACCAGCCACGCUGAGACUGAGACACGGUCCAGACUCCUACGGGGCGCAGCAGUUGGGAAUAUUGACCAAGGGGGUCAAUCCUGAUGCAGCCAUGUCGCGUUGAUGAAGAAGGCCUUCGGGUUGUAAAGUACUUUCGGCGGGGAGGCGGUACCCGCAUAAGAAGCAACGGCUAACUCCGUGCCAGCAGCCGCGGUAAUUC
rnacentral:rRNA from 1 species